CCCCUACCUGAACCCUACCCUCCGUCCCUUCCCUCUACACUCAGUUCAACCUGCUUCUUCAUCUUUUCUUUUCCCAUUUGGUUUCUUCUCCUCUUGGUUCCUUUCUUUUUUCCCCCACACACCUGGUAAUCUUUCUGUGUGCUUCAAUGCCUCAGUCUUUCAGUCACUAUAACUCCUAGAGGUCAGUGCCUGUCAUAGUCCUCUGUCUGUCAUUUAUUCACACACUUCCUUAUCCCCACAGGUGGGCCUUCUUCUUGUCCUUUUCUGUCACAGUCAUAUCUCUGGGGGCCAGGUCUCUCUCUCUCUGACUCUCUUCUUCUUCUAGUCCUUUUCUGCCACAGUCAUAUCUCUGGCGGCCAGGUCUCUCUCUCUCUCUCUCUCUCUCUCUAUUUCUCUCUCUCUGGCUCUCUUCUUCUUCUAGUCCUUUUCUGCCACAGUCAUAUCUCUGGGGGCCAGGUUUCUCUCUCUCUGUCUCUCUUCUUCUUCUAAUCCUUUUCUGUCACAGUCAUAUCUCUGGGGGCCAGGUCUCUCUCUCUCUCUCUCUCUCUCUCUCUCUCUCUUCUUCUUCUAGUCCUUUUCUGUCACAGUCAUAUCUCUGGGGGCCAGGUCUCUCUCUCUCUCUCUCUCUGGCUCUCUUCUUCUUCUAAUCCUUUUCUGUCACAGUCAUAUCUCUGGGGGCAGGUCUCUCUCUCUCUCUCUCUGGCUCUCUUCUUCUUCUAGUCCUUUUCUGUCACAGUCAUAUCUCUGGGGGCCAGGUCUCUCUCUCUCUCUCUCUCUGGCUCUCUUCUUCUUCUAAUCCUUUUCUGUCACAGUCAUAUCUCUGGGGGCCAGGUCUCUCUCUCUCUCUCUCUCUCUCUCUCUCUCUCUCUCUGGCUCUCUUCUUCUUCUAGUCCUUUUCUGCCACAGUCAUAUCUCUGGGGGCCAGGUCUCUCUCUCUCUGGCUCUCUUCUUCUUCUAAUCCUUUUCUGUCACAGUCAUAUCUCUGGGGGCCAGGUCUCUCUCUCUCUCUGGCUCUCUUCUUCUUCUAGUCCUUUUCUGUCACAGUCAUAUCUCUGGGGGCCAGGUCUCUCUCUCUCUGGCUCUCUUCUUCUUCUAAUCCUUUUCUGUCACAGUCAUAUCUCUGGGGGUCAGGUCUCUCUCUCUCUGGCUCUCUUCUUGUCUUCUCUUCAUCUAUCUGAUGGGCUCUUAUGUCUAAUGAUACCGUUGAUUUUCCAGCCUGUCUGUCAGACUUGACAGAUCUGUAUAUGAUUGUGGAAUUGACAACAAAAAAGGACCUCUUUUUAAUGCUCUUUGUUUUGUU